CGUGGGUAACCUGCCUUAUAGUGGGGGAUAGCCUUUCGAAAGGAAGAUUAAUACCGCAUAAGAUUGUAGUAUCGCAUGAUAUAGCAAUUAAAGGAGCAAUUCGCUAUAAGAUGGACCCGCGUCGCAUUAGCUAGUUGGUGAGGUAAUGGCUCACCAAGGCGACGAUGCGUAGCCGACCUGAGAGGGCGAUCGGCCACAUUGGGACUGAGACACGGCCCAGACUCCUACGGGAGGCAGCAUG
rnacentral:rRNA from 1 species